rnacentral:rRNA from 1 species
UACGUAGGGUGCGAGCGUUAAUCGGAAUUACUGGGCGUAAAGCGUGCGCAGGCGGUUUUGUAAGUUUGUCGUGAAAUCCCCGGGCUCAACCUGGGAAUGGCGAUGAAGACUGCAAGGCUAGAAUCUGGCAGAGGGGGGUAGAAUUCCACGUGUAGCAGUGAAAUGCGUAGAGAUUGGAAAGAACACCGAUGGCGAAGGCACUUUACUGGGCUAUUACUAACACUCAGAGACGAAAGCUAGGGUAGCAAAUGGG